AAUAAUGGUGAGCUGGGCAAGGCAGCUUCGGCUGGCCGUGUUCCGGAGAGAACGGUAUUCCUACACCUUGUUCCAGUUCACCACCCGA
rfam:Vibrio sp. MEBiC08052 genomic scaffold scaffold00001, whole genome shotgun sequence.